UACGAAGGGGGCUAGCGUUGCUCGGAAUCACUGGGCGUAAAGGGCGCGUAGGCGGGUCGGCAGGUCAGGGGUGAAAUCCCGCGGCUCAACCGCGGAAGUGCCUUUGAAACCGCCGGUCUCGAGGGAGGCAGGGGAGCGCGGAACUUCCGGUGGAGCGGUGAAAUGCGUAGAUAUCGUAAGGAAGACCAGUGGCGAAGGCGGGUCUCUGGACAGUUCCUGACGCUGAGGCACGAAGGCCAGGGGAGCAAACGGG
rnacentral:rRNA from 1 species